rnacentral:tRNA from 1 species
CCGGGCGUGGCGGAAUCGGCAGACGCACCGCACUCAAAAUGCGGCGACCGUAAGGUCGUGGGGGUUCAAGUCCCCCCGCCCGGACCA